rnacentral:rRNA from 1 species
AGAACGAACGCUGGCGGCAGGCUUAACACAUGCAAGUCGAACGCACCUUUCGGGGUGAGUGGCAGACGGGUGAGUAACACGUGGGAACGUACCCUUUGGUCUGGAAUAACCCUGGGAAACUAGGGCUAAUACCGGAUACGGCCGAGAGGCGAAAGGUUGACUGCCGGAGGAUCGGCCCGCGUCCGAUUAGCUAGUUGGUGAGGUAAUGGCUCACCAAGGCAUCGAUCGGUAGCUGGUCUGAGAGGAUGACCAGCCACAUUGGGACUGAGACACGGCCCAAACUCCUACGGGAGGCAGCAGUGGGGAAUAUUGGACAAUGGGCGCAAGCCUGAUCCAGCCAUGCCGCGUGAGUGAUGACGGCCUUAGGGUUGUAAAGCUCUUUUACCUGGGAAGAUCAUGACGGUACCAGGAGAAUAAGCCCCGGCUAACUUCGCGCCAGCAGCCGC